GGGGAUUAGUGGCGAACGGGUGAGUAAUNCGUGGGCAAUCUGCCCUGCACUCUGGGACAAGCCCUGGAAACGGGGUCUAAUACCGGAUACUCACUGCCUUGGGCAUCCUUGGCGGUGGAAAGCUCCGGCGGUGCAGGAUGAGCCCGCGGCCUAUCAGCUAGUUGGUGAGGUAAUGGCUCACCAAGGCGACGACGGGUAGCCGGCCUGAGAGGGCGACCGGCCACACUGGGACUGAGACACGGCCCANACUCAUACGGGAGGCAGCAGUGGGGAAUAUUGCACAAUGGGCGAAAGCCUGAUGCAGCGACGCCGCGUGAGGGAUGACGGCCUUCGGGUUGUAAACCUCUUUCAGCAGGGAAGAAGCGAGAGUGACGGUACCUGCAGAAGAAGCGCCGGCUAACUACGUGCCAGCAGCCGCGGUAAUACGUAGGGCGCAAGCGUUGUCCGGAAUUAUUGGGCGUAAAGAGCUCGUAGGCGGCUUGUCACGUCGGUUGUGAAAGCCCGGGGCUUAACCCCGGGUCUGCAGUCGAUACGGGCAGGCUAGAGUUCGGUAGGGGAGAUCGGAAUUCCUGGUGUAGCGGUGAAAUGCGCAGAUAUCAGGAGGAACACCGGUGGCGAAGGCGGAUCUCUGGGCCGAUACUGACGCUGAGGAGCGAAAGCGUGGGGGAGCG
rnacentral:rRNA from 2 species